GGUGGCACCGUCCCUUCCCGGCGUGCAGCCCUGGCCUACGACUGGUGCGGCCCUCGCCUCCAGCCUCCAGCCGCUUCUUGGACCGUGCCUCUGCUCCAUCCCUCAGGCCACUGAUCCUGAAGCACAAAGAGAGCCCAGAGCAUCCUGCCUCCUCCAGACUCUUGCCCAACCAAAAUGGAAAUGGGGAGCCGCUAAUCUCCUCUCCAGCCACCGGGGCCAUCUUACCUGACACUCGCCGUCCGUGAGCUCCUUGACACGGGAUGUGCCACGUGGUGAAAAGCUGUGAUUUCUUCUCCAGUGAAAAUUUCCCCCCAGAACUUGAAGUUCAGCAAAUUUUGGCUGCAGUAUUUUAGUUGGUGUGGAACAAAUCUGUGGCACAACCUUUGGGUUCUUUCAAGAUUUUUUUCCUUAACUUUGGUUGUUAGCAGUUUGACUCUGACAUGCCUAGGAGUGCAUGUGUGUGUGUGUGUGUGUGUGUGUGUGUGUGUUUAAAUCUGCUCUGUGUGAAGUUUACUCUGCUUCCUAAAUGUGUAUAUUUAUCCCUUUCUCCAAAUUUGUAAAAUUUUCAUCUAUUCUUUUUUUCAAAUAUUCUUUACUGCCCCAUUUUUCUCUCUUCUCCUUCAGCAACUCCAAUUGCACAUAUAUUAGACCUUUGGAUAUUGUCCACAGUUCCCUGAGGGUCUGCUCAUUUUUUUCAAUCUCUCUUCUCUGUUCUUCAUAUUGGGUCAUUUCUAUUGAACUAUUUUGAAGUUCACUGAUUUUUUUCUCCUGUUCUCUCUAUUCUCCUAUCAAGCUCAAUCAGUAAGUUUUUUUAGAUAUCAUAAUUUUCAUUGGUUCAUUUUUUAAAAAACAGUUUUUUAGAAUCACUUUCUGAUCUAUCACUACACCUCAUCAGUAAGUUUUUUUAGAUAUCAUAAUUUUCAUUGGUUCAUUUUUUAAAAAACAGUUUUUUAGAAUCACUUUCUGAUCUAUCACUACACCUCAUCUAUGAAAUAUCCAUAUGAAGAAGGGUGGGAUGCUUUUCUUAGUCCUAUUUUAUAUCUAGAGGAACCAAGGAGUUGAGGGGGUAAGCAGAUUUGUCAAGACCAGAGAGGCAGUAAUAAAUAGAGCCAAGAUAUAUAAUAUAUAGCAUGUAAGAUGGUGGAGGAUGAUGGAGAAAAGAGAAGGACAGGAGGAGAUUAAGAAGCAUGGGAAGGAGGGGGAGUUUGCAGUUUCAAAUAGUGUGUUUAGGGAAAGCCUCAUUGAGAAGGUAAGCGUGGAGAAAACAUUGAAAAACGCAAGAGAAGGGGAGAGGCUUUCAUUCAGUGGGAAGAGCAAGUGCCCCUAGUAGGAUGUGAUGUUAUGUUUGCAUGUUAUCUAUGGAUCACUGGAUCUGCCAUUAUAUUUUUAUGAGUUGGUGGGGCACAAGUUUAUCAUACUGAAUCCCAAAGGUCAAAAGUAGUCAUGACUUAAAAUUAUCUUAUGAACUAUUGCAUGUCAUAUCAGAUUGGGUCCUUUGAAAGGAUUUGAUAAGUGCUACAUAAUAAGUUUGGUUCUGUAGGAUAUAGUCCAUCCUUGUCAUAUGUAAAGUGCUUUACAGAGACUAAGAAAUUCAUAAACAUGAAGUAGAAAUAGAAGACUAUGAAAAACUUCCUUUCCUCUGAUGAAUACACAAAUUGUAAUGUCUACUCCCAGUAAGUGAUGACUAGGAAAUUUGCACCAACUUUCCCGCCAAGGAAACCUAAAGAACUGGAUAAAAUAUUAAAAAUACCUUCUUAAAAGCACCAAAAUGUUAACAAGGUCAUGAGGAGUUUCAAAGACAAAAUAUAGAAGAGGAGACCCAGAGAAAAAGACUGAUAUUCAAAUUUGAUUUUGCCCCAAGGCCAUUUGCCAAUCCUAAAGAAACAGCUGCAAAACUGGGCUGUUCUCUUGACAAAUGCCUGGGGCUGGAUGGGAGGUAACAGGCAAGACCUACAACCCAACAGAGGUGAGGAUUCUAAUGGACCCCCCACUUUAACUGGGACCCUAAAGACUUGCAGCUUCACGGAAGGUGACUGACGAGUAGAUCAAUGCCUGGAAAGGAUGUCCUUCUAAUUCUGUGUCGUCCAGGUGCUCCGGGGAACCUCCAGCCUUUACUUGGUUUGAGAUGGAUCCAGACAGGAGCCCCUCAGGUGUCUGGCAGAGGCAAAAGAAAAUCCUCUCUGGAAGAAGACACUCUCAUGCUAAACCUCAAAUUAUUCUUUAGAGAUAAUUUUUAAAAUACAAUGUCCAACACACCGUCAAAAAUUGCCAGUCAUACAGGGAAACAAACACAUAGAGCAAGAACCAGGAGAGACAAUAGAUAAUUUGAAUAAGCCCAUGGGCACUGGAGAUAGUGUCUGUUGGCAUUAUUAGCCACAGACCAAAAAACCACCUUGCUUCUUCACUUGGUGUGAAGAAGAGAGACGGAGACUCUGUGUUUGAAGAGGAGAGAACCAAAGGCAAUGUUUUAAGA